AGUAGUGGUAUUAAUGGAAACGAUGCUCUGCCGAAUUGACAUUUGAGAGGGGAUGCCACAGCGAAAUCGGCUGCUGCACCUUUGUUUCCCGAAGUGGAUAAGAUUGAUGGAAGACUGUACAAUCUCAAGGAGGAGGUGUCUGUUCAAGACUCUUAAGCACUGCAAGACACUUGUUGAGCUGGAAAAAGGUGUGGAUGGCUUGUUUGGUAGCUUUGCAAGGUUAGAUUCACGUAUUUCAAGUGUCGGACUUACUGCUGCCAAGAUAGAUCACUUGCAGACCCUAGGGUCAAAUUCAUUGAAAAGGAAAAAGAGUACAAAAAGUCACGGUACACUAGAGGAGCUAUGUCAUCAGGUGUGGACUCAAUCCAAACCUGUAGCUCAUUACCAGAUUUGACUUUUCUGGCAAGGUAAUGGGCAACAGUAUUGCCUAAUCUUUUUACAUGAGAGAAAACACAAAAGCGAAGCUCAUUUGCUAACACAAGGGAAUCCUGGAUGAUAUGGCCAAAUUCGGAGUUGCUGGUCCUACCAUCUUUAAGAGCCGAGAUGACAAUCUCAGCAUCCCCCUCGACAGUGGCUUCAAAAAUACUCAUCUCCUUCACGAAUAAGACUGCUCUUCUACACGCUAAGGCUUCCACCGUAGCAACUGAACAUGGCAGAGGUAUUCUUUCAGCCAAGGCGCCAAUAACUAAACCUUCAAAGUCUCGGAUAACCAUACCCACACCAGCAGCACCCAAUUCCUUAAAAAUUGCCCUGUCAAAAUUCACCUUAUACGUCAAAGGAUUAGGGGGAAUCCACCUAGAGUUGCUGCCAGAAACUGAAAGCUGCACCUGUCGAGGAAUCUGAGCCGAGGAAAAAUCAUGGAGAAAGGUCAAAGCCUUAACACGAAUAGUACGAAGGUCAGUAGAGCAGCCCCCCACGCGGUCAGAAUUUCUACAUUCCCAAAUCAUCCACAAGAUCACAGCUACCAGGUUGAUAUCGAAGCAGUCCUUCAUCUCCACUACCGUCUCCAUGAGGUCAGCAAAUGUCAUGAAUCUGUAUUUUAGAAGCCUCUGACCAGCUGCAGUAGCUUCCCAAAUGACCCGCAAAGCUGGGCAGCUCCACAAGGAAUGAAUGGAGUCCUCACAAGCCAAGAGACACAUAGGACAGGUGACUGAAGAGACCACUUUGCGUUUCCACAGGUUUAGCAGGGUUGGGAUAGCUUCGUGAGUUGCUCUCCACAACAUGUGCUUAACCUUGUGGGGGACCAGCAAGCACCAAAUUCCAGACCACAUUCUUUUGUUUCGACCCAAGUUGGAGCAGUUUGGAACAAGACUCCUAUCAGAUUUAGCUAACAUCUGGUAUGCACUCCGAGUGGUGUAGUUACCCUGGCUUGAAGGGAACCAAGUUUGUAAGUCUGGGAUCUGAUUUAAGCUCAACGGCAAACCAGCAAUAAUAUUAGCUUCGUGAGGAAGGAACUCGUGCUUAAUCAGAUCAGCCUUCCAGGUACGGGAGCCAUCAUCAAUCAGGUUUCUUACAGUGGACACCGGGCCAAGAGAGGAAUUGGGGAAAUGACCCUUCUGCAGCUUUGGGUUGGUAGCCAAUUAUCCCCUUGGAUUUUGAUUGACUUGCCAUCACCAACUCUCCAAAUUGAACCUGAUUCAAUGACAUGUUUGGCUUGGAGAAUGCUUUUCCACGCGAGUGAACCUUUAUGAUGACUCGUUGCCUCCAAUAUUGAGCAAUCCGGAAAAAACUUGGCCUUGAAAACCUUGUGAAAGAGAGAGUCUUCAUGGUUCGUCAAGUGCCAAAUCCGUUUGGCCAGAAGGGCAUCAUUGAACUUAUUUAACUCCCUAAAUCCCAUACCCCCCUCACUCUUCGGAAGACAAUUUUUCCCAACUAAUCCAGUGAAUGCGCUUCUGUUCUCCUUUGUAACCCCACCAAAAUUUUCUUAUGAGUAUUUCGAUUUCCUUGAUCAGCCCUUUUGGGAGCUUAAAACACGACAUGGUGUAGGUGGGAAUCGCCUGAACAACUGCCUUUACUAAGAUUUCCCUGCCAGCUUGGGAUAGGAGUUUCUCCUUCCAGCCCUUAAGCUUCUUCCCGAUUCUUUCUUUGAUGAUGCUAAAAGAUUUCUUUUUGGCGCGGCCCACCAGGGAGGGUAGACCCAAGUAGUGAUCAUAACUUUGAGAGGCAGCCACCCCCAAGAAAUUCUUAAUAUCCUCCCAAGAUUGAGCUGCAGUGUUAGAGCUGAAAAACAAAUUUGUCUUACCCCUGUUGAUAUUCUGACCUGAUGAUUGCUCAUGGAGUGUUGGUAAUUGAUCAUUUAGUUUAUGCUACCCUUUGUUUAGGAUUCACUAACUCCAUGUUAUUAAUUUAAUUCUUGAAAUACUUGAUGGAGUUCAAUAGCAGCCCAGGAGACCUAAUGGAACUUUCACCUCUAUUUUCUGAUGACAGCUAUGUUGCUGGGGCUGCUUCAAUUGUACAAAAAUUGCGGAAACCACUUGCAUAAAGGGCUGCAUGAUCAUUGGCAGAAGUUCACUUUUAAUCCCAGGUUUAUUCAGCUUAGAAACAACUGCAAGAGUGCAGCUAGACUUAAUUCCUUGUGGCCAAGCUCGAGUUGAAAUGGAAGUGGAAUGCUGAUUUAGAUAUGAUCUUUGAGAUUUCUUGAAUUCCCUCAAGUUGCAGUAAUUUGGUGGCAGCUAAACCAGUACAAGAUUAAAUUAAUGGCCAGGCUGAUGAGCUCAUCUUUGGACAGUAAAUUGUAGUAGAUUAUACUUUUGAAUUUCUCUCUUUCGUGGAGUGUAUAUCUUUGAAGGUAUGGAUAAGGCUUUAGCUUAUGUGGUUUCUAUAACUCUUGCUUGUGUGUCAACAAGAAAUUUAUGCCCUGGUGUGCGCCCUUGUAAGUUAUAAAUGAUACUUUUGGGUAUGAAUAAUAAUGACAGUUGAUUUUGUUGUA